rnacentral:rRNA from 1 species
UGGGGAAUAUUGGACAAUGGGCGAAAGCCUGAUCCAGCCAUGCCGCGUGUGUGAAGAAGGUCUUCGGAUUGUAAAGCACUUUAAGUUGGGAGGAAGGGCAGUAAGCGAAUACCUUGCUGUUUUGCCGUUACCGCCAGAAUAAGCACCGGCUAACUCUGUGCCAUCAGCCGCGUUAAUACAGAGGGUGCAAGCGUUAAUCGGAAUUACUGGGCGUAAAGCGCGCGUAGGUGGUUCGUUAAGUUGAAUGUGAAAGCCCCGGGCUCAACCAGAGAAAUGCAUCCAAAACUAGCUAGCUAGAGUAGGGCAGAGGGUGGUGGAAUUUCCUGUGUAGCGGUGAAAUGCGUAGAUAUAGGAAAGAACACCAGUGGCGAAGGCGACCACCUGGGCUCAUACUGACACUGAGGUGCGAAAGCGUGGGGAGCAAACGGG